rnacentral:rRNA from 1 species
AAAAGGGGCAACCUGGUAUGAGAUGGACUCGCGUCGCAUUAGCUAGUUGGUGAGGUAACGGCCCACCAAGGCGACGAUGCGUAGCCGACCUGAGAGGGUGAUCGGCCACAUUGGGACUGAGAUACGGCCCAGACUCCUACGGGAGGCAGCAGUGGGGAAUAUUGGGCAAUGGAGGAAACUCUGACCCAGCAAUGCCGCGUGAAUGAAGAAGGUCUUCGGAUUGUAAAGUUCUUUAGUCAGGGAAGAAGUCAAUGACGGUACCUGAAGAAUAAGCUCCGGCUAACUACGUGCCAGCAGCCGCGGUAAUACGUAGGGAGCAAGCGUUGUUCGGAAUGACUGGGCGUAAAGGGUGCGUAGGCGGUUGUACAAGUUAGAAGUGAAAUACCCAGGGCUUAACUCGGGUGCUGCUUCUAAAACUGUAUGACUUGAGUGCAGUAGAGGUUAGUGGAAUUCCUAGUGUAGCAGUGGAAUGCGUAGAUAUUAGGAGGAACACCAGAGGCGAAGGCGGCUAACUGGACUGCAACUGACGCUGAGGCACGAAAGUGUGGGGAGCAAACAGGAUUAGAUACCCUGGUAGUCCACACUGUAAACGAUGAAUACUAGAUGUAGGAGGUAUCGACUCCUUCU